ensembl:snoRNA small nucleolar RNA SNORD91 family
AAGAGGAGUCAAUGAUGGUUAUAACCCACAAUGUCUGAACCUAUCUGAAGCAUCUUUGUGAUGUAGUCAUUCUGUCAUUCUGAGACUUCUUUAAGA